AUACGUUGUUUUUAAAACGAAACACCGUCCGAGAAAAAAACAUCUCGAGUAAUCCAAUACAUGGAUUGAAACAAGAUUAUAGUCAGCUAUAGUUUGUGACAUUUCGAUAACUGACUUGUUUAAUUAUUUUGCCCGGUAGGCAACAGACACUUCCAGAAUUUGCUGACUGGCAAUGAAAACUACUUAUUUUAGAAUGCCAAUUGAUCACAUUCGCCGUGAUUUCAAGCUAUUGUUUCGUGUACAACCAAGCAAGUUCGGAAAGUGUCUAUGAUGCAAUAAAAUAUGAAUUAAAAACUAACAUUACUAAGUUACAUUAACAUAAAGGGCUAGGUCUAGGUCCUAUAAGUAGGAGCCUACUAAAAACUACUAUAUUCGGCUUUUCAAUUCCUACAGUAAAAUAUUUACAUGAUUUCUAUAACAUAAAUUAGUUCAAAGUAAUAGUUCAUAAUAAAUUAAAUAUGUACAUAUAUGAAUUACUGAGAAAGCUUACAAGCGCAUUAAUUACGACUAGAAGUCCAUAUCAUCAACAGAAAAAAAAACACAACUAUAAAGAUAUAUACUGUAUUAUAUUCCGCUAAUUCUUUUCGAUUUUAUUUUCGAAAAUCUCCGAAAAAGGAAUAUUUCUUUGUAAUUCUAACUGUUUUAACAUCAAAGAUUCGUGGCCUUUCAUUUGUUCCUGUGCUGAGGCUCAGGCCGAAGGACUAAUUUUAUUUUUUUCAAUUAGUGACUUACAGUAUUGUACCCUGGUUCCAGAGGCGCUUUGUGAGGCGAAAGAAACGAGAAGCGAUAACGGAGAGCCUCUGGUCACAUCGAUUGCAAAUCCCACUUCCACACUUGAUUAGGUUCAGAAUUUGAAUCUCGCAUGUG
rnacentral:lncRNA from 1 species